UACAGAGGUCUCAAGCGUUGUUCGGAUUCAUUGGGCGUAAAGGGUGCGUAGGCGGCGCGGUAGUCGGGUGUGAAAUCUCGGAGCUUAACUCCGAAACUGCAUUCGAUACUGCCGUGCUUGAGGACUGGAGAGGAGACUGGAAUUUACGGUGUAGCGGUGAAAUGCGUAGAUAUCGUAAGGAAGACCAGUGGCGAAGGCGGGGUCUCUGGACAAGUUCCUGA
rnacentral:rRNA from 1 species